GAUGAACGCUGGCGGCGUGCCUAAUACAUGCAAGUCGAGCGAACAGACGAGGAGCUUGCUCCUCUGACGUUAGCGGCGGACGGGUGAGUAACACGUGGAUAACCUACCUAUAAGACUGGGAUAACUUCGGGAAACCGGAGCUAAUACCGGAUAAUAUAUGGAACCGCAUGGUUCAAUAGUGAAAGACGGGUUUGCUGUCACUUAUAGAUGGAUCCGCGCCGCAUUAGCUAGUUGGUAAGGUAACGGCUUACCAAGGAAACGAUGCGUAGCCGACCUGAGAGGGUGAUCGGCCACACUGGAACUGAGACACGGUCCAGACUCCUACGGGAGGCAGCAGUAGGGAAUCUUCCGCAAUGGGCGAAAGCCUGACGGAGCAACGCCGCGUGAGUGAUGAAGGUCUUCGGAUCGUAAAACUCUGUUAUUAGGGAAGAACAAAUGUGUAAGUAACUAUGCACGUCUUGACGGUACCUAAUCAGAAAGCCACGGCUAACUACGUG
rnacentral:rRNA from 1 species